GCACAAGUAGCGGAGCGUGUGGUUAAUUCGUAGGCUACACGAAGAACCUUACAGGUUUGACAUGCAAGUGGUAGGAAUCCGAAGGUGACCGACCCUUCGGGAGCUUGCACAGGUGCUGCAUGGCUGUCGUCAGCUCGUGUCGUGAGAUGUUCGGUUAAGUCCGCUAACGAGCGCAACCCUCGUCGUGUGUUAUACGUGUCACACGAUACUGCCGGUAUCAAGCCGGAGGAAGGUGGGGAUGAUGUCAAGUCAGCAUGGCCUUUAUAUCCUGGGCUACACACACGCUACAAUGGCAGAUACAAUAGGUUGCGAAACCGCGAGGUGGAGCCAAUCCUCAAAGUCUGUCUCAGUUCAGAUUGUAGGCUGCAACUCGCCUGCAUGAAGUUGGAGUUGCUAGUAAACGCAGGUCAGCUAUACUGCGUUGAAUACGUUCCCGGGGUUU
rnacentral:rRNA from 1 species